UACGGGGGUGGCAAGCGUUGUUCGGAAUUACUGGGCGUAAAGGGCGCGUAGGCGGGGAGAUAAGUCGGGUGUGAAAUCCCUCGGCUCAACCGAGGAACUGCGCCCGAGACUGUCUUUCUUGAGUCCCGGAGAGGAAGGUGGAAUUCCCGGUGUAGCAGUGAAAUGCGUAGAGAUGCGGAGGAACACCGAUGGCGAAGGCAGCCCUCUGGGCCAACACUGACGCUCAGGCACGAAAGCGUGGGGAGCAAACAGG
rnacentral:rRNA from 1 species